CUGUAUAAAGAAGUACCAAGUAGGUCAAGCUUGGCCGAUGGGGCUGUUAGAGUUCCAUUGAUUAUGGUUUUGUCUCCACCUAAAGAUAGAUUAUUUGUUUGGUUAUCACAUGAUCGAUCACAUCGUUAAUCUACAUGAGUUUCAUUUAAUUUCUUUCCGGUGUGUUCAAAGAGAUCGAUUUGUUAAUGCAAAUGAAAUCAAUUUA